rnacentral:rRNA from 1 species
GAUGAACGCUGGCGGCGUGCUUAACACAUGCAAGUCGAACGGUCAAGCCGGAGCUUGCUCUGCUGGAUCAGUGGCGAACGGGUGAGUAACACGUGAGCAAACUCCCCCUGACUCUGGGAUAAGCGCUGGAAACGGCGUCUCAUACUGGAUACGAGCUGCUAAAGCAUCUUCAGCAGCUGUAAAGAAUGUCGGUCAGGGAUGUGCUCGCAGGCUAUCAGCUUGUUAGUGAGGUAAUGGCUCACCAAGGCGUAGAGGGAUAGCCGGCCUGGGAGGGUGACCGGGCACAAUGGGCCUGAGACACGGCCCAGAAGGCAACGGGAGGCAGCAGUGGGGAAUAUUGCACAGUGGGCGAAAGCGUGAUACAGCAACGCCGCGUGAGGGACGACGGCCUUCGGGUUGUAAACAUCUUUUAGCAGGGAAGAAGCGAAAGUGACGGUACCUGAAGAGAAAGCGCCGGCUAACUACGUG